rnacentral:rRNA from 1 species
UACGUAGGGUGCAAGCGUUGUCCGGAAUUAUUGGGCGUAAAGAGCUCGUAGGCGGUUUGUCGCGUCGGCUGUGAAAACUCAGGGCUCAACCCUGAGCCUGCAGUCGAUAUGGGCAGACUAGAGUAUGGCAGGGGAGACUGGAAUUCCUGGUGUAGCGGUGAAAUGCGCAGAUAUCAGGAGGAACACCGGUGGCGAAGGCGGGUCUCUGGGCCGAUACUGACGCUGAGGAGCGAAAGCGUGGGGAGCGAACAGG